CGUGAGACUUGACUUGGACUCUAGCUCAAACACUUGUGAGCAUUUCUGUGAGAAGACGCUAAAUGUGAGGCUACCACCAGCAGCCAGCUAGUUUAGCUUGGCAAUAAGACUGAAAAGAGAGGGAAACCGCUAGUUCGGCUCUGUCCAAAAGAUCACUGGUCAUGUCGGAGAGUCACUGCGUAUUUGCUGUGUGCAUAAUGCUUCAUAGCGCGAGUGGACACUCACCUCGUAUGCCUGGGGACUGGUCAGACAGCUCGCCAGUGGUCCACAGCAGGCGGGCAGCGUGGAGGUGAGAGGCGGACCACUGUGUGUCAGAAUGGGCUUCAGGCUGCCUGAUGAUUACAGAGAUGACUGCAUCUGUGUCGCUCUGAGCGAGAAGCAUUGGACAAGAGCAAACACUCUGAUGCAGAGACACAUGAAAAUGCUCAGCACAAGUCAGAACAAGAAGAAUUUUCACCAUUUCUGUUUUGAUGUAUGUGAAGCACUGCCAUUGUAAAAUACAUGUGUAGCUUUCUUUGAAACUGAAUACAAUGAGCCUGCCAGGAUGCUGAUCCACAAUGUGCCAUGCUGCGUGUUGUCCACAUGCAAAUCUGUACCCUGUCCUCAAGACUGAACCCCCUCUGGCAAAGUAAAUAGUCGCAUCAGGAGGGAUGUCCUCAGACAACCCCGAUUAAGGUCACAGCAGGCGGAUCACUGAGCCAUCUGGCACUGCGGCCAAGCACCAUGUUCAUACUAUCAGGGGGUUCAAAAUUGGUCCAAAAUAAAUAAGGCUGCCUGUGCAGGAAGUGGUCAGAUGUUA